AAAAAAUUCCCCCUCUCUCCUCCUCUACCUCUCUUCUCCUCACCCUCUCUCUGCCUUCCUCUUCUCUCUCCCUUUUCCGGCAGCCGCUCCCCUCCUUCUCUCCUCCUCUCCCUCUCAUUCUUCUUCCCCUCUUUCUCUCUCCCAUCCUUCUCCCCUCUCCCAUCGUUCCCUUUCUCCCUCUUUCUCCCCAUCGCCUUCUGUACCCUCCCGUCUCUUCUCUUCCCCUUCCUCUGCUCCUUUCUUUUCUUCUUUUGCAGGUAGCAGGUUUCAGCGAGCAGGAACAACUCGACCCAGCAGCAACUCUAACUAGCCGCUUCCCUCUCCCAUCACUCUUCUUCUUCUUCUCCCUUUCUCCGCCUCCCUCUUCCCCUCUUUCCUCUCCCGUUUCCCCUUCGUCUUCCCCUUCUUAUUCUCCUUUCUUUCUUUUCUCCUUUUUCAGCCAGCAACUAGCGAGAUAGCAACUCGCUUAUCCUCUCUAAUUUCCAGGCGAGGCGACCAACAACUCUGACCGGCGAAUCAACAACUUCGACCAGCAAAACCAUUUCCCCAUCUGGCCCAGGUAGCCUGCAACAGCAAGCAGCAGCCACACGAGGAUGGGAGAUUUCAGCAACCAGUAGCUCUGUGGUAGCAAUAGCCGUGAGCAGCUCUGACAAGGUUCGAAAUGCCCGAAACUUGCACUAAGCCGGGUCUUGAAAAAUUCGCCUAGGUUUGUUUUUGUUUAAUUAUUGGUAGUCUUCUAAAAAUUAGCUUAUUUUUGGAUAUGAUUUCAUGAUAUUAUCAUCAAUAAUAGUUGAUAAUCUUCUUCUAAGCAUGAAUAUUAAGAUCCUAUGAACAUUUGCUCUAUAAUCGCAUAUUCGGGUUGAUUCAAAUUUUUGCUCAUAUUUUCAUCAUUUUAUUAUAUGCAUGUAUAUGUUUGUGUUCUUGUUAGAUGGGUAUUAUCUAGUUUCCUAUGAUUUUGAAAGGACCCCUUAACUAAGUUUUUCUAUUAAUUAUUUUUUUGUUUUUACUUAUAAUUUUGUACAUUCUCUAUUAAUAAUAAAGUGUUAAUGGUAAGGGAUUGCUGCAAGAAUUGGAUAAGUUGAUUAAUGAUUUCUAUAAUUGCUCAUGAACAGAUUUCUCCUUUACAAAUUAUGGAUGAUUACUAAUAUAUCCUUCUUGCCUUAGUUUUGAAGAAGAUAGGCAUAUUUUACAUGGUAAGAAUAUAUUCUUGAUAAUUGGUAAAAAGUUGAUUAAUUCACAUGUUUAUUUGACUAAUAUUUCUUUAUUCAUAUUACCUUUAAUUAAGAGCAGAUUCUUACUUGUAACAUGAUGGUAAAGUAUAUAUAUAAUUUGUAUGUGAAUAUUUCUUUCCUUACUUUCUUUUAUAUAGCAUUAAUUGGAUAUCCUCAAUUGUUUAUUUGCUUAUCUCAAAUAAAUUAAAAUAUAGUUUUUACUUGCUUUAUUUUGGUAAAAUUGUGAAUUAUUAUGGUAAAAUAUUUCAUUGAUUUGGUAAUGUUUUAUCUAAGAAAAUUAUAUUAUCCUUUCUAAAUUUUAUUUCUUACUUGCUUUCUCUCUUAAAAUAAGAAUAAUAUUAAGUGAUCACUUUUUCCAUUAAUAGUUGACUUGACUAGUUUUCACUUGUUUAUAUAUGACUUUAAUUUUUUUCCUUGUAAUAUUUAGUUGCUCAUAUAUAUUUGUAAAAUAUAUUUUUAUUCCUAAUUUUUCUUAUUUUUGGUAAUAAAAUAUUCUUAAAUUUUUUGAUUUUAGCUCUUCUUUAUCUAAGGAAAAAAUAUUAUUACUUUCUCUUAAUUUAUUCUUACUUGCUUAUAUUUGGUAAAAAAUAAUUAAUUUUUUUUCUACUUUUGGCUCUCCUUUAAAAUAAGGAAAUUGUGAUUAAUUGAUUCCUUUAUAUAUUUCUCUUCCUUAGUUAUUUCCUCCUCUUUGCCAUUAAAACAAGACCCUCCUCUCAUUUACUGAUUCACUCACAUUGACUCUCUAACAAGUUUCUCUCACACACUCACAUCUUGAGAAGAACUCACAUUCUCCAAACUCACACUAAACUCAUUCAUUCGCUCUCUCAAAACAAGAACUAGACUCUUCACUCUCUCAUUGGUAUCUUGCUACUCUAAAAAAUAAAUAAAUUAAGAUUGCGGUAAAACAUUCAAGUGCUCUUCUUUGCUACUUUGCUCUUUUGUUUUUGUUCAAAUAAAAGUUGGAUCAACUUGUUUUCAUUGCUACUAUUUCUUUUCUGCUUAACCGGUUAGUAUUCUUAAUUAGCAUUUUACUAUUAGUCAGCCCUCUAUUUUUUUUCAUUUUUUAUUUUGCAUCUAUUAUUAUUUUUGUGUGUUGGUAAUAAAAGGAAACACUUCUUAUCUUUUGCCCCUAUGUGUGUUGAUAUGUCUAUGCCUAUGUUUUGUCCUUUUUAUUUCUUAUGUGUUGCUUAUAUAUGUAUGUAUGCGAGUAUGCCUAUGUUUUGUCCUUUUUAUUUCUUAUGUGUUGCUUAUAUAUGUAUAUAUGCGAGUAAUUUGUUACUAUGAAUAUUUUACAUUAGAAUCAUUCUUCCAUUGUAUAUUUGUUACCUUACUUAUUCUAGCAGGUUUUGGACUUAAAGUUAAAGAUGAUGAAGAGUGGCCUAGAAGAAAUUUCGGACAAAGCUUUGUUUGUUUUAAUGUUGUGUAUAUUUUUAUCUGUUAUUUUUAUUACAACAUGUGUAUAACUCUAAAGCAACUCUUAUGUAUGAAACAAUUUUGGGGAUCGCCUAGGGAGGGGGAAUUAUGUGUUAAAUAUCUUCUUUUUCUUAUUUUCAUCAAACUUAUUUGUGUUAGAAAGCAUGCCUAUAGGUUCAUAAUUUAUUUUUUGAUAAAUUUUUAUGUGGUAAAGUAAUUUUUAGAUCUAACCAUAAAAAAAAAUAUAAAAUGAAUCAACUUUGCUCAAUCAUUUAGUUUAACUUUGCUCAAUUAAUGUUUGAAAUUAAUUUUAUCCAAAUUGACGUGUUAAGUAAUGAGUUAUGAUUAAUUUGCUAAAAUGUUAAUAACUUAUGUGCAUUUUA
rnacentral:lncRNA from 1 species